ensembl:lncRNA LINC02548 long intergenic non-protein coding RNA 2548
AGGUUUCAGCAUAGGAGUUUUUAGGGCAUGGAGAGGCACAAACAUCCAGACAAGCAUUUACCUUCUGCUGAAAUUGUCUCAGUGUUUGCCUCUCCUAAUGGAAUAUGGGCCACAUGUACAGCAAGGGCUCAGCAAAUGCUUGCUGAACAAACAAGUUUGAGGCAGGUUUCUAACUCAGGUAGAUCGUUUCAUCCUCUUCAUCUCCCAGCAACCAAGAAAACCAGCCUAUUGCCAUGGGGGGGUCCUCCAACCCUGGCUAUUCUCCAAUGCUAAAGACUGACAGAUAAUCUCAAUUAGCAAAUUGACCCUUGUGGAUUUUCUGCACUCAUAGCAAAUGUCUUCAGGAAAACUGAAUUUCUCUCCAUACCUGGUUUUUAAAAAUUCUUUUCACUUCUCUAGGAUUAAUUUUCAGUAAUGGAAUGACUGGGUCAAAGGAGAUCAACAUUGCUGUGGCUCUUUCAGGUUCUCUUAAAUUCCAUGGAUUUUAACUUUGGCCCAUGACCUCCUUGACCUCUGGAAAUGUGACAUCCUGCACCUGCUGCAUCAGGGCUCUUCCCUGGUCUUGCCUACACUUGUGUCUACACAGAUGCCUCUUCCUGUCCAUAUCACUUGCUUCUGCAUAAAGUGGGUGCAGAAGAUAAUGAGACGGAUUUGACCGCGGUGAACAGGCAGGCACACAAGAUGGAGCAGGCCCUGGUGAUAAACCCCAAUUCAAGUGAGAGGAAGUAUGAGGAACCAGAUUGGAAGAUGGAGUCCAGUGCCCAGAGAUCAUGGUCCAGAUAAUACAUCGUGAAGAGAUUAAUGCAUGGCUAGAGGGGUGGGAGGUAGAUCUAUGAAACAUGCAUAUCCCCCAGUCCUACUCACCAUCUUCCUGGUUCCCACCUCCCUCUCACCACAGGAUUGAAGAUCAAAGUUUGAAGUUGACUUCUAGGCCCCAUCCUGGUACAUUCUGGAUGAAUUUUGGGGUUGGAAGAUGGAGGACCUAUACAUUUUGAGGGAAAUAAGAAGGAUAAUAGGAGUCAGUGAAGAAGUGGUCAGCACCAAAGGAGGAGAGCGUUUAAAGGAAAAGAGGUAGUCAACCUAGUUAACUGCUGCAGAGAGGCAAAGGAGCAGGAAAAGAAGCCUGUUCACAAAAUUUCUGCAUCCCUCUCCUGGGCACAUGCUUGAUAAACCAGAGGGAUAGUCUGAGAGAGAAACUGAAGGUCAAAAUCAACGCAGUGGUGCCGAACAGAAGGGCCCGAGGUGCGAUGAGUAUAAUAUGAACACGAAGGAAAACAGCGAGUUCAGAAGCCUGGAGAAUCAGAAGCAGGUCAAGCGCUGGGGUUCAGGGCAAAGACCCUGAACACUGUGAAGGUGUUGGAGACCUGUUUUGAGGUGGCACUGCGGCUCAAUGUGAGUGCAGACCUGAGAGAUUAAAGUGCCUACGAAGGGCCAAAUACCUGUCCCUUCAUGACA